rnacentral:rRNA from 1 species
GAUGAACGCUGACAGAAUGCUUAACACAUGCAAGUCGAUGGGGAAGUGGUGCUUGCACCAUGGCAACCAUGGCGGACGGGUGAGUAACGCGUAAGGGACUUACCGCAGGACUGGGAUAACAGGGGGAAACUCCUGACAAGACCGGAUAAUGUCAUGGAGCUGCAUGGCUUUAUUAUGAAAGGAGACGCCUGCGGAGAGCCUUUCGUCCUAUUAGCUAGUUGGUGAGGUAAUGGCUCACCAAGGCGAAGAUAGGUAGCCGGCCUGAGAGGGUGGACGGCCACAAGGGGACUGAGAUACGGCCCUUACUCCUACGGGAGGCAGCAGUGGGGAAUAUUGGACAAUGGGGGCAACCCUGAUCCAGCAAUUCUGUGUGCACGAAGAAGGUUUUCGGAUUGUAAAGUGCUUUCAGCAGGGAAGAAGUAAGUGACGGUACCUGCAGAAGAAGCGACGGCUAAAUACGUG